GACGAACGCUGGCGGCGUGCCUAAUACAUGCAAGUAGAACGCUGAAGGAGGAGCUUGCUUCUCCGGAUGAGUUGCGAACGGGUGAGUAACGCGUAGGUAACCUGCCUGGUAGCGGGGGAUAACUAUUGGAAACGAUAGCUAAUACCGCAUAACAGUAGAUAUCGCAUGAUAUCUGCUUGAAAGGUGCAAUUGCAUCACUACCAGAUGGACCUGCGUUGUAUUAGCUAGUUGGUGAGGUAACGGCUCACCAAGGCGACGAUACAUAGCCGACCUGAGAGGGUGAUCGGCCACACUGGGACUGAGACACGGCCCAGACUCCUACGGGAGGCAGCAGUAGGGAAUCUUCGGCAAUGGACGGAAGUCUGACCGAGCAACGCCGCGUGAGUGAAGAAGGUUUUCGGAUCGUAAAGCUCUGUUGUAAGAGAAGAACGAGUGUGAGAGUGGAAAGUUCACACUGUGACGGUAUCUGACCAGAAAGGGACGGCUAACUACGUG
rnacentral:rRNA from 1 species